GGAACAGUCAGUGCUUAGAGGAGAUGCCUGUGAGAAACAUCGAGGGGGUAUGAAAUUCUGGAGAUACAGAAUCCUUGCACUAUAAUGAUAAUAGAACUCUUGUGCUAUAUAAGACAGCACACAUUAGUCAGCAGAUGUGUGGCAUCCCUUGAGAACUGGACUUAUGUAUUGGAAAGUCAUUUCCUGAGUGAGAGACUCCUUAUGCUGAGCUGAGGUGCUGGAAACUCCAGGUGUUCCUGCUCUGCAUAUUUCCAGGCCUUUAUUCCCACUGCAGCGGGACAGCCGCUUGUCACACAACAGCAUUUUCUUUAUUUCACUUGAGCAAUAGCAAAAUAUUGCACCUGCUGCCUAUGCUGCUUUUGAUAAAUCUGUGGUUUCUGGGUUGCCAGUGCUCAUUGCUGGGUCAUGUUGAACUUCUCAUCCACCAACACCCCCAGUCCUUUUCCCAGGGCUGCUCUCAAUCCCUUCACUGCCCAGCCUCUACCUGUGCUUGGGGUUGCCCUGACCCAGGUGCACAGCCUUGAACCUGGCCUUGUUGAACUUCAAGUGGCAAAUCUCCUCAACUGCAGUGCUUGAAGCAGCAGAAGCCUCAGUGGCUUCAAAUACCUCCACUGCCGGUGCAGAGCCACAUCCAAAGAACAGGACAUAUAUUCAUGGGACAUCUUCCUUAGGAAUGGAGUGGAAAUCUGGUUCUCUUUAUAUUCUCACUUUAAAAAAAAAGGAUUCUUAUAAGGAAUGGCACAAACAGCUGAAGCAGGAGGACUGAACAGUAUCUUGACUUAAAAGCUGCUGUUUCAAGGUGAGAGCAUGUUUGCUCGUGGGUCAGAUUCAGCAGCAGUGCUCUGGCCAGCCAUUCCAUCUGACUCUGUUGUCAAUAAAGGGUUAGACGCAACAAGACAGUCCCCUGCAAUUGAAAUGGACAUUAGUGCAGAAGAAUUCCGAGAUGUAUGAAAAGAAUUGUAGCUUAUUCUGGAGCAACUGUCGUUCAUGUUAAUGUUCCUACAUCCUGUGCAGCAAAGAAACUGUCAUCCUCACAGGACUCGUGUACUGUUGCAUAAGUCCAUGCUUGAUGUUGAUCUUGUAUUUAAAUGCAUUGCUGAAGCUGGUGGUGUUUGGAUAAGACCAACAAGGAAUUGUUGAUAUAGAAGAAAAUUUGAGUGAUAGUUCUUGUUGUAGUGUUAGAAGUACUGUGUUGAUUCCAGUGAUAUUCAUGAAAAAUCAAUAAAUGCUCUAUAAUGGGCCAAAUUCAAACAAACAACCAAACAACACCGCCCUCAAAAAAAAAAAAAAAACCAAAAACCAAAAAACUCAGAACAACCAAACCCCAUUACACACAACAAAAACUCCACAAAUCCAAACCAGACUAGAAUCCAUUAAAACUUAGAAGAAACUAAAAAAA